rnacentral:rRNA from 1 species
UGCGGAGGAUCAUUAACGAAUAUAAAUCGGAAAGCUGUCGCUGGCCUCUCGGGGCAUGUGCACGCUGACCGUGUUUCAAAAAUUUCUCACCUGUGAACCUAAUGUAGGAUGCCUCUCCUCUAGGAGAGGGGACCUAUGUCUUCAUAUACAUCUUCGUGUAGAAAGUCUUAGAAUGUUUACUAUCAGAGAGUCGCGACUUCUAGGAGACGUGAAACUCUGAGAUAAAAGUUAUUACAACUUUCAGCAAUGGAUCUCUUGGCUCUCGCAUCGAUGAAGAACGCAGCGAAAAGCGAUAUGUAAUGUGAAUUGCAGAUCUACAGUGAAUCAUCGAAUCUUUGAACGCACCUUGCGCUCCUCGGUGUUCCGAGGAGCAUGCCUGUUUGAGUGUCAGUAAAUUCUCAACCCUUCUUGAUUGAGGGAGUUUGGAUAGUGGGGGUUGCUGGAGACUUUUAUUAGACUCGAGCUCUCCUGAAAUGCAUCGGCUUGCGGUCGACUUUCGACUUUGCGCGACAAGGCUUUCGGCGUGAUAAUGAUCGCCGUUCGCUGAAGCGCAUGACCGAAGGUUUCGCGCCUCUAAUACGUCGACUCUUAUUAUCUCUUCGGAGAGAAAAGGUCUUCUUUAUUGACUUUUGACCUCAAAUCAGGUAGGACUACCCGCUGAACUUAAGCAUAUCAAUA